GACGAACGCUGGCGGCGUGCUUAACACAUGCAAGUCGAACGGAAAGGCCCUGCUUUUGUGGGGUGCUCGAGUGGCGAACGGGUGAGUAACACGUGAGUAACCUGCCCUUGACUUUGGGAUAACUUCAGGAAACUGGGGCUAAUACCGGAUAGGAGCUCCUGCUGCAUGGUGGGGGUUGGAAAGUUUCGGCGGUUGGGGAUGGACUCGCGGCUUAUCAGCUUGUUGGUGGGGUAGUGGCUUACCAAGGCUUUGACGGGUAGCCGGCCUGAGAGGGUGACCGGCCACAUUGGGACUGGGAUAGGCCCAGACUCCUACGGGAGGCAGCAGUGGGGAAUAUUGCACAAUGGGCGGAAGCCUGAUGCAGCAACGCCGCGUGCGGGAUGACGGCCUUCGGGUUGUAAACCGCUUUCGCCUGUGACGAAGCGUGAGUGACGGUAAUGGGUAAAGAAGCACCGGCUAACUACGUG
rnacentral:rRNA from 1 species